GGCUGAAAGCCGGGUGUGGGAAGCUUGGCGGCCCCGCCCAGUCUCCUGGACCAGCAGAGGACACGGGCUCUGCUGCAGCCGCAGGGAUUGGAGAUCACAACAGAGUGGUGUGGUGUGGGCCUGAAGAUCCGCCUUGUUGGAAUUAACAUUUUCACUGGUAGAAAACAUGAAGAUAUCUGUCCCUCUACUCACAACAUGGAUGUUCCAAAUAUUAAGAGAAAUGAUUAUCAAGGUGCAGUUCCCUCCUUUUUGAGGUUUCCAUUCAUUAUCCUUUGAAGGACUAGAUUUGUGGAAAGGUACUGUGUAAAUUUGUUUUUGUCAUGGAAUACCUUGGUUUCUCCAUCUAUGGUAAAGUUUUUCUGGGUAUAGC